GGGGAAUUUUCCGCAAUGGGCGAAAGCCUGACGGAGCAAUACCGCGUGCGGGAGGAAGGCCCUUGGGUCGUAAACCGCUUUUAACAGGGAAGAAUAACUGACGGUACCUGUUGAAUAAGCCUCGGCUAACUCCGUGCCAGCAGCCGCGGUAAGACGGAGGAGGCAAGCGUUAUCCGGAAUUAUUGGGCGUAAAGCGUCCGCAGGUGGCCUAUCAAGUCUGUUGUUAAAGCCCAGGGCUCAACUCUGGAUCAGCAAUGGAAACUGAAGGGCUAGAGUACGGUAGGGGUAGAGGGAAUUCCCAGUGUAGCGGUGAAAUGCGUAGAUAUUGGGAAGAACACCAGUGGCGAAGGCGCUCUGCUGGGCCGUAACUGACACUCAUGGACGAAAGCUAGGGGAGCG
rnacentral:rRNA from 1 species